rnacentral:sRNA from 1 species
UACUAUUUAAUUAUGAGGAGAGAACUCAACGACACUACCUGGGUCAUACAGACUGUGUGAAAUGCCUUGCUAUACAUCCUGACAAAAUUAGGAUUGCAACUGGACAGAUAGCUGGCGUGGAUAAAGAUGGAAGGCCUCUACAACCCCACGUCAGAGUGUGGGAUUCUGUUACUCUAUCCACACUGCAGAUUAUUGGACUUGGCACUUUUGAACGUGGAGUAGGAUGCCUGGAUUUUUCAAAAGCAGAUUCAGGUGUUCAUUUAUGUGUUAUUGAUGACUCCAAUGAGCAUAUGCUUACUGUAUGGGACUGGCAGAAGAAAGCAAAAGGAGCAGAAAUAAAGGUAAAUUUUUAAAAAAUCGAGUAUUGUCUUUUAGAGUACGUUACUUGUUUUGCAGGUAUUUGGAACUAUAUUGGUAUUAGAACUAUCUAUUCUUAAGUCGCAAAAGCAGAUCUACUAGCCACAUUCAGCAAAUUUAGUGAUUUGUCAUAAUCGUUAAGAUAUUAACACUAUAGUUAUACAAGAUAAAAUAGUCAAGCAACUUGAAGCAAUUUCAGUAUUUCAGACAUUACUAUAGUCCUGAAAUGCCAGAGUAGAUGGAUGUGUGAUCUCAUAAUUAAGACUGAACACACUUCUUGGUUUUCUUCUUUAAUAAAACAUGUAAUUUCAUUCCAUCUUUAAAGCUUUAGAAAUCUAGAGGAAAAAUUCAGUAGGAAUACGACUGAUGUAACUGAAGGGCUUAUGAUAAGUUUUUUGGUCUUAAUUGUGUUUGUAGGAUUAUUUUAGAAAAUUCAAUAGCAUUUAUAAUUGCUAUAAUUGCAUUAUAACUCUUUACAGUACAAGGGUUGAUCUCUGUGUAGAUCAAGCUGUACGUUGUAAGAGAAGAAUGUAAAAUGCAUUGAAGCUGGGUUUAUAUGAGCCAGAAAUGGACUUCUCCCUCUGACAGGCAUUUAAAAAGAUUCAAAGUGAUAGAAUGGCUUUAAAAAGUCUGUGUAAUAUUUGCCAUACUCUUAAAUAACAUCACAUUACUCUCCAACUCCUCUCUUAACAGUUUUGUUUUGAGUAAGCUUCAAGCUUUUAGCUUGUUGGGCAAAAAGAUUAUAUGAUGUUUAACUUAACAUUUUGAAAGAAGUAGAUUUGAUUGUACUUAAAAGGAAUAUAACUUGUCAGAAAACCUCAAACUUUAAAAAACAUAAAUGAAGAUAUAGAUUGACUUCCAGUUAUUCAGACUAAUUUAACAUUGAAACAUAGGGAAGUUGCAUGAAAAUGAAAUAUAUCAGUUUUGAUUCUUCAUAGUAAGGUUUACCAGAUGAAGUCUUGUGGUUUUCCUCCUACUGGCGAUUUCUCGAUCUCCUUUCCAGGACUUUAAAUGUUGGUGUUCUUCAGAGUUUUAUUCCAGAUGCUCCACUGAUACUAUAUGCUGCUCCCAUGGCCUCAUUUUCUAUCUGCUGAGUCCCGUAUCAGUUAUCUCCAGCCCAGAUCUCUAACAGGUUUAACUCAUAUUUCUAGUUGCAUCCUAGACAUCUUUAUUUGAAUGUCCUCUACCACAAAUGAAAAUCAACAUGUUCAAAUCUGUACAUAAUCAUCUUUCCUAGCCCCCAACCACCAGUUUCAUCCCUUAGUGAUUGACUCCGCAUUUCACCUAGCUACCUAAGCUAGAAACUUGGACAUCAUUCAUGGCUCUUUUUACCUCACUUCUCACAUCCAGGUAGUCAGGAAGUUCUCUAAACACCGUGUCCCAAAUAUCUGCAUUAUAGCACUUUCUAGUACAAGCGACUGCAAAACAAUUGAAAUUAACUUAAUCUGGCCAGGGGUAGUCAUUCACACCUGUAAUCUCAGCACUUUGGGAGACCAAAGUGGGUAGAUCAUUAGAUGUCAGGAGUUCAACACCAACCCGGCCAACAUCGUGAAACCCCAUCUCUACUAAAAAUAC